rnacentral:rRNA from 1 species
AUUGAACGCUGGCGGCAUGCCUUACACAUGCAAGUCGAACGGUAACAGGUCUUCGGAUGCUGACGAGUGGCGAACGGGUGAGUAAUACAUCGGAACGUGCCCGAUCGUGGGGGAUAACGGAGCGAAAGCUUUGCUAAUACCGCAUACGAUCUACGGAUGAAAGCAGGGGACCGCAAGGCCUUGCGCGGACGGAGCGGCCGAUGGCAGAUUAGGUAGUUGGUGGGAUAAAAGCUUACCAAGCCGACGAUCUGUAGCUGGUCUGAGAGGACGACCAGCCACACUGGGACUGAGACACGGCCCAGACUCCUACGGGAGGCAGCAGUGGGGAAUUUUGGACAAUGGGCGCAAGCCUGAUCCAGCAAUGCCGCGUGCAGGAAGAAGGCCUUCGGGUUGUAACUGCUUUUGUACGGAGCGAAAAGGCCCUCUCUAAUACAGGGGGUUCAUGACGGUACCGUAAGAAUAAGCACCGGCUAACUACGUGCCAGCAGCCG